CUGUAAAAGAGCACACCUUAACCACCGUAAUGGGUUUGGAUAUAUGGAUGCAUGUUUCUCCUAAAAAGUGAAUUAAAGAAAUUCUUCUCCAGCCAGCUGAUGGUCCAUUAGAGGAGGCAAGAUUUUCAAGGGAACUUCUGUAAGAAAUUUCAACCUUCAAAGGGUACGAAGAGGAAAUGAAAGGAAAAAGAGUGAAGGCGCAUUAAAUGCGGUAAAUCCUGUUUUAAAGAACUCUGCGUGCCGUUUGGUGUUUUUGGCAUGUAGAGUGAAAACUAUUCAGCAGUAGAAGGUGCAGAUGAAGUGACAGAAAGAUUUUUUCUUCUGAGUCUUUUGGACCCCUGUCAUGUCACCUGCUGCAUAUAUUAAUACCACAUCAGAUGAACUUGGGUGAAUAUGGGUGAAUGAACUCAAUAAACCUUUGGAGGUGCUUUAA